rnacentral:rRNA from 1 species
AUUGAACGCUGGCGGCAGGCCUAACACAUGCAAGUCGAACGGCAGCACAGAAGAGCUUGCUCUUUGGGUGGCGAGUGGCGGACGGGUGAGUAAUGUCUGGGAAACUGCCCGAUGGAGGGGGAUAACUACUGGAAACGGUAGCUAAUACCGCAUAACGUCGCAAGACCAAAGUGGGGGACCGUCGGGCCUCAAACCAUCGGAUGGGCCCAGAUGGGAUUAGCUAGUAGGUGGGGUAAUGGCUCACCUAGGCGACGAUCCCUAGCUGGUCUGAGAGGAUGACCAGCCACACUGGAACGGGGACACGGUCCAGACUCUUACGGGAGGCAGCAGUGGGGAAUAUUGCACAAUGGGCGCAAGCCUGAUGCAGCCAUGCCGCGUGUAUGAAGAAGGCCUUCGGGUUGUAAAGUACUUUCAGCGGGGAGGAAGGCGGUGAGGUUAAUAACCUUGCCGAUUGACGUUACCCGCAGAAGAAGCACCGGCUAACUCCGUGCCAGCCGCCGCCGUAA